UACGUAGGGGGCAAGCGUUGUCCGGAUUUAUUGGGCGUAAAGAGCGUGUAGGCGGCUAGAUAGGUCCGUUGUGAAAACUCGAGGCUCAACCUCGAGACGUCGAUGGAAACCAUCUGGCUAGAGUCCGGAAGAGGAGAGUGGAAUUCCUGGUGUAGCGGUGAAAUGCGCAGAUAUCAGGAGGAACGACCGGUGGCGGAAGGCGGGUCUCUGGGCCGAUACUGACGCUGAGGAGCGAAAGCGUGGGGAGCGAACAGGA
rnacentral:rRNA from 1 species